CCCCUAGUAACGGCGAGUGAAGCGGGAAGAGCUCAAAUUUGUAAUCUGGCGGUCUAUGGCCGUCCGAGUUGUAGUCUGGAGAAGCGUUAUCCGCGUCGGACCGUGUACAAGUCCCUUGGAACAGGGCGUCAUAGAGGGUGAGAAUCCCGUCUUUGACACGGACCGCCGAUGCUGUGUGAUGCGCUCUCAAAGAGUCGAGUUGUUUGGGAAUGCAGCUCAAAGUGGGUGGUAAACUCCAUCUAAAGCUAAAUAUUGGCGAAAGACCGAUAGCGAACAAGUACCGUGAGGGAAAGAUGAAAAGCACUUUGGAAAGAGAGUUAAACAGUACGUGAAAUUGUUGAAAGGGAAACGCUUGAAGUCAGUCGCGUCUUUGAGGACUCAGCCAGGCUUCUGCCUGGUGCAUUUCCUCGGGUGACGGGCCAGCAUCGAUUUCGAUCGACGGAGAAGGGCGAGGGGAAUGUGGCACCCUUUGGGUGUGUUAUAGCCCCUCGUCGUAUGCGUCGGUUGGGAUCGAGGACCGCAGCGUGCCCUUAACCGGGUCGGGGUUCGCCCACGUAACGCGCUUAGGAUGCUGGCG
rnacentral:rRNA from 1 species